rnacentral:rRNA from 1 species
UGGGGAAUAUUGCACAAUGGAGGGAACUCUGAUGCAGCGACGCCGCGUGAACGAAGAAGGCUUUCGAGUCGUAAAGUUCUUUUAUAUGGGAAGAUAAUGACGGUACCAUAAGAAAAAGCCCCGGCUAACUACGUGCCAGCAGCCGCGGUAAUACGUAGGGGGCUAGCGUUGUCCGGAAUCACGGGGCGUAAAGGGUUCGCAGGCGGAAAUGCAAGUCAGGUGUAAAAGGCAGUAGCUUAACUACUGUAAGCAUUUGAAACUGCAGAUCUUGAGAAGAGUAGAGGUAAGUGGAAUUUUUAGUGUAGCGGUGAAAUGCGUAGAUAUUAAAAAGAAUACCGGUGGCGAAGGCGACUUACUGGGCUCAUUCUGACGCUGAGGAACGAAAGCGUGGGUAGCAAACAGG